CCUUAUUUUUUAGUUUUUUUUUUAUCUCCAAUGAAAGUAAAAAUUACUUUACUUUCCUUUCUUCAUUCUUUCAGUCCGAGAAACCCACAGUCUUUAGUUUCUGCACUCGGCUUUUCUAUUUUUCUUCAUUCCCCAGAAAACCCACACACAAUCUCAUUAAGAAAAAAAAAAAAAUCCGUGCUCCAUCUCUCUGCAUCUCUUACCUCUUCUCUUGGAAACAUAUGAAAGACUAAGGAAAAAUUGCGUUUGAGAUAAGGAUCUGUGUAUUUUGAUUGUUUUUUUUUUUUUUUUUUUAAGCUUGGGUUUUUGCUUGAUUGGUGAAAGGCGAAGACGAUGAUUGCAAUGGAGGAAACUAGUCGAAAUCAAGUAGUAGUAGUAGUAGGUUAUACAAUUUAAUGGUGUGAUUAAAUAUUAUGAGUAUGCUUUAGGGUCGGUUUCUAUAUUGCUUUAAGGUCAGAAACACUUCACAAGUGUUUGUUGAAUUUUCUGAUUGCAACAGAAUAUUAAAGGAAAUUGAAAGAAAAGAAAACCCAAAAAAACAAAAUUGAAGAAUAAGUAGAAAGCAGUUAUGGUUAAAAUCUGCUUCAAAUGUUGAAUCAUUUGUUUUCUUGCUUAUAUGACACUCACCAUCCUGCUAGAUAUCAUAAUUUAAUUACAUAACUUCAUUUUGAUUUUAUGUUGGUUUCUUGUUUAUGGUUAUGAAGGUGAGCGGUAGUUUUGCAGAGGAGUUUCACUUGGAAAGUUUGCAGCAUCAAAUAGAAAGUGAUCUUAUGCCAAGUGCCCAAUGUGACCAAAGUGAUUCUUAUGUGGCAAGGGAUUGGAAUGAGCUAGGGGUGACAAACUGUGGAAAUGAGACAAAACUCCUAAGUGGAUUAGUUAUCGAGGUGGAUUGCCCAAGGAAUUAUAUGUGGUGAAAGAUGUAUUAACUGGAAUGAGAAAACAUGUUCAUCUGCUGGACAUAACAACUUUAUCACAACUCAGAAAAGAUGCACAUCCUGGAUUUUAUAAUGGCUUUAGGCCAUGGACUGUAACCAUUGGUGUAUUGCUGGACUUUCAGAUACUUGGAAUCAACUUUUUAUGCAUUCCUCAUAAUUGUCAUGCUUGUUCUGGUAUGUUUAGUUUAUAAAAAUGAUCAUACGGUUACUUAGGUCCUUCCUUCCAUAGAUCACCAUUUUUAAGGGAAUCAAGUAUCAAAACACGACCGAUCUUUUCAUUUUCAAUGUCAACCAGAUAUUGAGAGUUAAACAUCAUUAAUGAAACUCUACAAUCCUCAUAAUUUAGAGUAUUUAAUAUA